rnacentral:misc_RNA from 1 species
AACGCACCUUGCACUCUUUGGUAUUCCGAAGAGUAUGUCUGUUUGAGUGUCAUGAAACUCUCAACCCCCCUGUUUUGUAAUGAGACGGGCGUGGGCUUGGAUUAUGGCUGCUGCCGGCGUAAAGUCGGCUCGGCUGAAAUAUACGAGCAACCCAUUUGAAAUAGACGGUUUGACUCGGCGUAAUAAUUAUUUCGCUGAGGACGUCUUCUUCAAACGUUAGAGGUGCUUCUAAUGCAAUCAAUUUAAUGUUAGACCUCAAAUCAGUCAGGACUACCCGCUGAACUUAA